AUGACAGAAGCAGAGUAUAUUGCGGCUUUAGAAGCUUCAAAGGAGGCGGUCUGGAUCAAGAAGUUUCUUGAAGAAGUUGGUGUCGUCCCAAGUGCGAUGAACCCGAUGGCACUCUAUUGUGAUAAUAGUGGUGUUGUUGCUCAAGCAAAGAAACCAAGAUCCCACAUGAAGACUAGACACAUCGAGCACAAGUAUCACUUUAUCCAACGGUAUGUCAAGAAGGGUUUUGUGAAGGUUCUCAAGGUUCACACGGAUUUGAAUGUGUCAGACUGGAUGACGAAGGCUCUACCACGAGCAAACAAUGAGCAACACCAGAUAGCCAUAGGUGUUUGA
rnacentral:rRNA from 1 species